AGCAGAAAAGGCAGAAAAAAGGCGGCUAGAAGUGGAGAGGAAAAGAAAGGAACGAGAAGAACAGAAGUGGAAAAAGCAAGAGCAGCAGGAACAAAUGGAAAAAAUGAAAGCAGAACUGGAAAAGGAACAACACAGGAGAACAGAGGACAUGCGUUUACAGAAACAGAGACUAGAAAAAGAGUGGAGGCGCCAGGAGGAGGAGGAGGCAGCAAGGAAGUCACAAUUAGAGAAAGCAGCACAGGAACGUAUUUGGCAGCAGCAGGAGGAAUAUCGCAGAAAGCUUCAGCAGUUCCAGAAGAAGAGACAGCUAGAGGAACAAGAACAAGAAGGUCAUGUAUAGAAAGGCUAAUGCUUACUUUAUCUGUAGAUAACUCAUCAAAAGGAUGACUUCUAGUAAACGCAUAGAACUUAAACUUAGUUUGUGGCUCUGCCAUCGAAUUCCUGUGACAGUAAGUCCCAAACUUGCAGCACCUCGGCUCUUCCUCUAUAGAAUAGAGAUGGUAACAAUAGUCCUCUCUCAGUCCCCAUAGCCUGAAGGAAAAUUCCUCAACCUGGCUAUGAUACAAUUGCAUAAGAUGCUAGCAACAAUAGCAUUCAUGCCAUAUUUGUUAAUUUACUGAUGUUUUCAGCAUAUUUGAUAACUUCUCUGGAAGCCCCAGUCCCAGUAGCUAGAGAGUUGAAGAUUCUAUUUCUAACAAGUAUUUGCAGAGAAAAGCUUGAAAACACAAAUCCUAAAUGCCAGAUUAAAAAAAAACAGAAAACCCAUUACAAUUAUUUCUAAAUUGCGUAAUUAAAGCCAAACUCAUGUUUUUGAGACCAGUUUAAAUACUUGGAAUGUCAGUAUUCCAACUGUAAAUUCUCUUAAUUUGUAAUUGAUUAAAAACAUUUCCUAAAUAGGAGUUAUACGAGCAACUAACAGUUGUUUGGUGGUCUGUUCCUAAGAGGCAGAAAAACAGAGACAAAGAGAAAUGUGGUUAGAGGAGCAACACCAGCAACUAGUGGAGAUGGUAGAAGAACAAGGCCUGGAGUAUGACAGAAGAAAUCAAGAGGAAGAGAAGGCAAGACAUGAGGCUGAAGAGCAGAGAAAGAAAGCAGAGGAAGAGGCUAGACUAGCUUUGGAAGAAGACAAAAGACAAGCACAGCUUUUAAUCAGGCAAAAAGCAGCUCUGGAGCAACAUCUGCAGUUCCAGCGUGCACUACUAAUAGAAACUACUGGACUAGAACACACUCAAGAUAUUUCCCGUCCAUGGGUGUUUUCUUAUUUUCAACUGCUUGAAAAGCUAGGCCCUGAAAAGAGUACAAAAGAAUAAAUAAAUGCUUAGCGCCAGAGAUAGAUCACUGCAGUGAGCUCUUUCAGAUCAAAUAUAAUUCAAGGUUCCAACCUGAUUAAAACUGGAAGAAUGCUCCUUUACUGGAUAGGUGCUGCUCUCGAUCCCAAAUUUGUUUUCCCAGACUACAAGUCUAGUCUGUGUAUACAUCCUAUAGAUAGAAAGUAAAAGCUUUUUUUUUUUUUUUUUUAAAAAAAUCAGCCAGUAGAAAUUAACCUAGACAGACCACGAUGACCUUUACAACCUCUCAAAGUGCCAGAGUACAUUUUGUUUAUCCUUUGCUGCUUCAUCCCAGAUUCUUUAGGCCAUUUUGUGGUAAGACAGAAAACAAUGAAACUGUCAGUUUACAAGAGAUACGAAAGAUCUCAGUUCUGACUUUCAGAGGGAUCCCCCAAAGCAACUGAUUUAUGUGCCGUUGCAAAAAAGGCUAGAUGUCUUCAGUAUCAGCCCUAUGCACUACAGAAAUAAACAAGAUAAACUUGCCAGGUUCCUCUUGUUUUCCACUUUGCUAGUAUUUUAUCUAUCAAAAAGAAAGCGAGACAUUUUGUAGAUUCAAAUUACAUUAAAGUUCCUGUAGAUCGGGAGAGAAAAGUAAUCAAUUUUUGUGGUCUUCCUAAAUUGAACCUGAACUUCAUUUAAAUUAAAUAUGCAUCAAGCACUGGUUCUAAAAGCAAAAAAAAAAAAAAAAAAUAAAAUAAAAUAAAAAAAAUUUUA